rnacentral:snRNA from 1 species
GUGCUCACUGCAGCACAUAUACUAAAAUUUGAAUGAUACAGAGAAGAUUAGCAUGGCCCUUGUGCAAGGAUGACACGUGAAUUUAUGAAGUGUUCUAUAUUUUU